ensembl:lncRNA
CAUAGACAGAGAUAUGUCAGCAACACUUCAAGGCUAGAGCGGCCAGACUUCUGCUCCGCAGCGAGGAAACCCACGGGCCAGCGUGAGGUGCGCCUGCCCUGGGAAGCAAAGCUGUCAGCCCCGAGCUAAGCUUUCCUGAGAAGGGGACAAAUGAGGACCAAGAGCACCUGGUUUUAUACUAGAGCAAGGGGCAGCCCUUCAAGCCAAGAGGAAUCUAAAGCCUGCAAGCUCCAUGGCAGCAGCCAGCAGUGCAGACAGAGCUCCAAGAUGGACAGACACAUGGACAGAGAGCACCGAAUCCAUGCUCUCUGGGGGGGCCUGGUCCUUCCCUUUGGGCAGCUCUAUCAAGCCCAGGGAUCAGGAGAGCCUGAAAAGGUGUCAAAGGAGGAAAUGGCAAGCUUCAUGGAGCAAGGCUUUGGGGCAAGUUUUGUGAGAUGGUAAGGAGUUCUCUCACUGAGCACCAAUACGCUGCUAGGGGUCUGUGUUCUGUCUCUCACAGACCACUCUGGAAAGUCUCAACCAGCCCUCAAGGCCCUAAUGCAGGAAGAUGGAUGGAGCAGCUCAGCCCUGGCUGGAGAAGACUCCGCCCCCUGCACCAUCCCCAUGGGCCCCAGCCAUCCCACCCAGUCCCAGGAAAGGGCUGGGACGGUUUCCAUUUCCAACCUGUCUGGCCUUGCAUUUCUUGCCCAAGAGGCUCUAGAACAGCUGAGCGGGCUUUUCAGGACUGGCCAGGUGCCAGGGCUGGAGCAAGGGCCCUGAGGGCCAUACAGCAGCGUCUCCUGUGCUACAUAAGGAUUUUUCCUUAGUGAAUCUUGAAAUCUUUUACCAGAAGUG